rnacentral:rRNA from 1 species
AACGAACGCUGGCGGCAUGCCUAACAUAUGCAAGUCGAACGAGACCUUCGGGUCUAGUGGCGCACGGGUGCGUAACGCGUGGGAACCUGCCCUUAGGUUCGGAAUAACUCCCCGAAAGGGGUGCUAAUACCGGAUAAUGUCUUCGGACCAAAGAUUUAUCGCCUUUGGAUGGGCCCGCGUUGGAUUAGCUAGUUGGUAGGGUAAAAGCCUACCAAGGCGACGAUCCAUAGCUGGUCUGAGAGGAUGAUCAGCCACACUGGGACUGAGACACGGCCCAGACUCCUACGGGAGGCAGCAGUGGGGAAUAUUGGACAAUGGGCGAAAGCCUGAUCCAGCAAUGCCGCGUGAGUGAUGAAGGCCUUAGGGUUAUAAAGCUCUUUUACCCGGGAUGAUAAUGACAGUACCGGGAGAAUAAGCUCCGGCUAACUCCGUG